rnacentral:rRNA from 11 species
UAAGCCCCGGCUAACUCCGUGCCAGCAUCCGCGGUAAGACGGGGGGGGCAAGUGUUCUUCGGAAUGACUGGGCGUAAAGGGCACGUAGGCGGUGAAUCGGGUUGAAAGUGAAAGUCGCCAAAAACUGGCGGAAUGCUCUCGAAACCAAUUCACUUGAGUGAGACAGAGGAGAGUGGAAUUUCGUGUGUAGGGGUGAAAUCCGCAGAUCUACGAAGGAA